rnacentral:rRNA from 1 species
CCUACGGGUGGCUGCAGUGGGGAAUAUUGGACAAUGGGCGAAAGCCUGAUCCAGCCAUGCCGCGUGUGUGAAGAAGGCCUUUGGGUUGUAAAGCACUUUCAGUGGGGAAGAAAGCCUUGGGGCUAAUACCCUCGAGGAAGGACAUCACCCACAGAAGAAGCACCGGCUAACUCCGUGCCAGCAGCCGCGGUAAUACGGAGGGUGCGAGCGUUAAUCGGAAUUACUGGGCGUAAAGCGCGCGUAGGCGGUCUGAUAAGCCGGUUGUGAAAGCCCCGGGCUCAACCUGGGAACGGCAUCCGGAACUGUCAGGCUAGAGUGCAGGAGAGGAAGGUAGAAUUCCCGGUGUAGCGGUGAAAUGCGGAGAGAUCGGGAGGAAUACCAGUGGCGAAGGCGGCCUUCUGGACUGACACUGACGCUGAGGUGCGAAAGCGUGGGUAGCAAACAGGAUUAGAUACCCCGGUAGUC